rnacentral:rRNA from 1 species
GAUUAAGUUAUUAAGGGCGCACGGUGGAUGCCUUGGCACUAGAAGCCGAAGAAGGACGUUACUAACGACGAUAUGCUUUGGGGAGCUGUAAGUAAGCGUUGAUCCAGAGAUUUCCGAAUGGGGAAACCCAACAUGAGUUAUGUCAUGUUAUCGAUAUGUGAAUACAUAGCAUAUCAGAAGGCAGACCCGGAGAACUGAAACAUCUUAGUACCCGGAGGAAGAGAAAGAAAAAUCGAUUCCCUGAGUAGCGGCGAGCGAAACGGGAAGAGCCCAAACCAACAAGCUUGCUUGUUGGGGUUGUAGGACACUCUAUACGGAGUUACAAAAGUAUAUAUUAGACGAAUCAUCUGGAAAGUUGAAUCAAAGAAGGUAAUAAUCCUGUAGUCGAAAAUAUAUACUCUCUUGAGUGGAUCCUGAGUACGACGGAGAACGUGAAAUUCCGUCGGAAUCUGGGAGGACCAUCUCCUAAGGCUAAAUACUCUCUAGUGACCGAUAGUGAACCAGUACCGUGAGGGAAAGGUGAAAAGUACCCCGGAAGGGGAGUGAAAGAGAACUUGAAACCGUGUGCUUACAAGUAGUCAGAGCCCGUUAAUGGGUGAUGGCGUGCCUUUUGUAGAAUGAACCGGCGAGUUACGAUUUGAUGCAAGGUUAAGCAGUGAAUGUGGAGCCGUAGCGAAAGCGAGUCUGAAUAGGGCGUUGAGUAUUUGGUCGUAGACCCGAAACCAGGUGAUCUACCCUUGGUCAGGUUGAAGUUCAGGUAACACUGAAUGGAGGACCGAACCGACUUACGUUGAAAAGUGAGCGGAUGAACUGAGGGUAGCGGAGAAAUUCCAAUCGAACCUGGAGAUAGCUGGUUCUCUCCGAAAUAGCUUUAGGGCUAGCCUCAAGUGAUGAUUAUUGGAGGUAGAGCACUGUUUGGACGAGGGGCCCUUCUCGGGUUACCGAAUUCAGACAAACUCCGAAUGCCAAUCAAUUUAACUUGGGAGUCAGAACAUGGGUGAUAAGGUCCGUGUUCGAAAGGGAAACAGCCCAGACCACCAGCUAAGGUCCCAAAAUAUAUGUUAAGUGGAAAAGGAUGUGGCGUUGCCCAGACAACUAGGAUGUUGGCUUAGAAGCAGCCAUCAUUUAAAGAGUGCGUAAUAGCUCACUAGUCGAGUGACACUGCGCCGAAAAUGUACCGGGGCUAAACAUAUUACCGAAGCUGUGGAUUGUCCGUAGGACAAUGGUAGGAGAGCGUUCUAAGGGCGUUGAAGCAUGAUCGCAAGGACAUGUGGAGCGCUUAGAAGUGAGAAUGCCGGUGUGAGUAGCGAAAGACGGGUGAGAAUCCCGUCCACCGAUUGACUAAGGUUUCCAGAGGAAGGCUCGUCCGCUCUGGGUUAGUCGGGUCCUAAGCUGAGGCCGACAGGCGUAGGCGAUGGAUAACAGGUUGAUAUUCCUGUACCACCUAGUAUCGUUUUAAUCGAUGGGGGGACGCAGUAGGAUAGGCGAAGCGUGCUAUUGGAUUGCACGUCCAAGCAGUAAGACUGAGUGUUAGGCAAAUCCGGCACUCGUAAGGUCAAGCUGUGAUGGGGAGAGGAAAUUGUUUCCUCGAGUCGUUGAUUUCACACUGCCAAGAAAAGCCUCUAGAUAGAUAACAGGUGCCCGUACCGCAAACCGACACAGGUAGUCAAGAUGAGAAUUCUAAGGUGAGCGAGCGAACUCUCGUUAAGGAACUCGGCAAAAUGACCCCGUAACUUCGGGAGAAGGGGUGCUCUUUAGGGUUAACGCCCAGAAGAGCCGCAGUGAAUAGGCCCAAGCGACUGUUUAUCAAAAACACAGGUCUCUGCUAAACCGUAAGGUGAUGUAUAGGGGCUGACGCCUGCCCGGUGCUGGAAGGUUAAGAGGAGUAGUUAGCUUCUGCGAAGCUACGAAUCGAAGCCCCAGUAAACGGCGGCCGUAACUAUAACGGUCCUAAGGUAGCGAAAUUCCUUGUCGGGUAAGUUCCGACCCGCACGAAAGGCGUAACGAUUUGGGCACUGUCUCAACGAGAGACUCGGUGAAAUCAUAGUACCUGUGAAGAUGCAGGUUACCCGCGACAGGACGGAAAGACCCCGUGGAGCUUUACUGUAGCCUGAUAUUGAAAUUCGGCACAGCUUGUACAGGAUAGGUAGGAGCCUUUGAAACGUGAGCGCUAGCUUACGUGGAGGCAUUGGUGGGAUACUACCCUAGCUGUGUUGGCUUUCUAACCCGCACCACUUAUCGUGGUGGGAGACAGUGUCAGGUGGGCAGUUUGACUGGGGCGGUCGCCUCCUAAAAGGUAACGGAGGCGCUCAAAGGUUCCCUCAGAAUGGUUGGAAAUCAUUCAUAGAGUGUAAAGGCAUAAGGGAGCUUGACUGCGAGACUUACAAGUCGAGCAGGGUCGAAAGACGGACUUAGUGAUCCGGUGGUUCCGCAUGGAAGGGCCAUCGCUCAACGGAUAAAAGCUACCCCGGGGAUAACAGGCUUAUCUCCCCCAAGAGUUCACAUCGACGGGGAGGUUUGGCACCUCGAUGUCGGCUCAUCGCAUCCUGGGGCUGUAGUCGGUCCCAAGGGUUGGGCUGUUCGCCCAUUAAAGCGGUACGCGAGCUGGGUUCAGAACGUCGUGAGACAGUUCGGUCCCUAUCCGUCGUGGGCGUAGGAAAUUUGAGAGGAGCUGUCCUUAGUACGAGAGGACCGGGAUGGACAUACCUCUGGUGUACCAGUUGUCGUGCCAACGGCAUAGCUGGGUAGCUAUGUAUGGACGGGAUAAGUGCUGAAAGCAUCUAAGCAUGAAGCCCCCCUCAAGAUGAGAUUUCCCAACUUCGGUUAUAAGAUCCCUCAAAGAUGAUGAGGUUAAUAGGUUCGAGGUGGAAGCGUGGUGACACGUGGAGCUGACGAAUACUAAUCGAUCGAAGACUUAAUCAA